UACGAAGGGUGCAAGCGUUACUCGGAAUUACUGGGCGUAAAGCGUGCGUAGGCGGUUUGUUAAGUCUGAUGUGAAAGCCCUGGGCUCAACCUGGGAAUUGCAUUGGAUACUGGCAGGCUAGAGUGCGGUAGAGGGUGGCGGAAUUCCCGGUGUAGCAGUGAAAUGCGUAGAGAUCGGGAGGAACAUCUGUGGCGAAGGCGGCCAUCUGGACCAGCACUGACACUGAGGCACGAAAGCGUGGGGAGCAAACAGG
rnacentral:rRNA from 1 species